rnacentral:rRNA from 1 species
UGGGGAAUCUUGCGCAAUGGGGGCAACCCUGACGCAGCAACGCCGCGUGAACGAUGAAGCUCUUAGGAGUGUAAAGUUCUGUCGUGAAGGAAGAACCUUUUGGUUGGAAAUACCAAUCAGAACUGACGGUACUUCACAAGAAAGCUCCGGCUAACUCCGUGCCAGCAGCCGCGGUAAUACGGGGGGAGCAAGCGUUGUCCGGAAUCAUUGGGCGUAAAGGGCGCGCAGGCGGAUUAGUAAGUCGGAUUUGAAAUCUUACGGCUUAACCGUAAAAUUGGAUUCGAUACUGCUGAUCUUGAGUUCGGUAAGGGAAAGCGGAAUUCCUGGUGUAGCGGUGAAAUGCGUAGAUAUCAGGAGGAACACCGGUGGCGAAGGCGGCUUUCUAGGCCGACACUGACGCUGAGGCGCGAAAGCGUGGGGAGCGAACA